AUGAGAUGAUGGAGAGAUAGCUGAGGAAUGAACAAAGGAUCUGCUGCAGAAUGUAAUCUAGUCAAGAGCUGAGAAGUCUGCUCCUGGAUCUGUUGAAAGAUUCAUGUCCCAGACUUGCAGAACUGACAUAGUCUGUACAAGAAUGCGACACCCAUUGAGAGGAGAAGGAGGAACUCUCUGUUGACUCAAGACAGCAGCCCAAUAAGAACAGAUCGGAUGGCAGUUGCAGGGAAGGCAGAGAGAGUUCAUAGAAAGGAAGACUGAGAUAAAGACUGGAUAGUUUACAGCUUCAAGCAGAUUUUAGCAAGUGUCCAGCAUUCUGAUAGGUCUUCUUAGGGUCAGAGAACGUGGUCAAAGGUCAUCAAGGGCAGGGUGGCUGUAAAAGCUGGAAACAGAACAGCAGGGAGGCCAGCUCCAUGCUCAGUGCGAACCCAAGAAGAGGAGAGGCAGAGCUGCAUGAAAGCUUGGACCCAACCCAAGUGCCUGCCUCAACCUUCUGUUGCAGCAGCUUUGGAAAGCAUGAGAAAAGAAACAGCCGGCUGUAAUACUGUGGAACAAAUGCAUUCAGCUGAGAAGCACCUGGCCACCUCACACGCACACCACACCUGUACUUUGGAAGGAAGUUGCUCACUCAGCAUCCAUCAUAGGGUCCAGAGGGAAUACCAGCACACAAGAGCCCUAUGGUGUUCAGCACAUGUACAAUUUGUAUACAGUGUAUGCAUGUAAAGUUAUUCACACACUGUGUUCAACACACAUAUGCUUCCUAUUUGUAUCCUGCAUUUGAGGGGAUCUGCACCCAGGUUCACUUUUAACAAGAACACAAGUACAGUCGUUUCAGUUAUGAAAUCUGGCAGGUAUUGGCAGGCCUCUGUGUAAUUUCUUUUUCAAAGCUAUGGGUCAAUCUCCUGAUUUUGGGUGAUUUUUUUUGAAUAUUUUCUCUUAAAAUUGAUGAAAAUUGUGAAACCUGACUUGUUUCAAGGCAGUACUUUACAAAAUAUUCUAGAUCUGAAUGCCCUCCUUAGACCAUCAUUUCAUCCCAAUGUGGAGGGGAAAGGACAUUUAUUUGAUUUUAUAUUGAUUUUUUUCAUUUCUAUUGCAGAAAGAGGCAGACCUUUAAAAGGGGUUAAAUGGACUUCAAAGGAAUGGAAGGGAACAUGAGGAAUUCUUUCUAACCACAAAAAUAGAAACAUUCAAAGUACUUUCUCUUUUAGUGACUGUGUGCUUCUGCAGUGGGGAAGACAGACAUUUCAAAAAUCCACCAAAAAUCAGAGGAUUAACCCAUAGCUUUAGAGGCAAAAUACACAGAG